GAUGAACGCUGGCGGCGUGCCUAAUACAUGCAAGUCGAGCGAACGGACGAGAAGCUUGCUUCUCUGAUGUUAGCGGCGGACGGGUGAGUAACACGUGGAUAACCUACCUAUCAGACUGGGAUAACUUCGGGAAACCGGAGCUAAUACCGGAUAAUAUUCUGAACCGCAUGGUUCAAAAGUGAAAGACGGUCUUGCUGUCACUUAUCGAUGGAUCCGCGCUGCAUUAGCUAGUUGGUAAGGUAACGGCUUACCAAGGCAACGAUGCAUAGCCGACCUGAGAGGGGGAUAGGCCACACGGGAAGUGAGACAGGGUCAAGACGACUACGGGAGGCAGCAGUAGGGAAUCUGCCGCAAUGGGCGAAAGCCUGACGGAGCAACGCCGCGUGAGUGAUGAAGGUCUUCGGAGCGUAAAACUCGGUUAUUAGGGAAGAACAUAUGUGUAAGUAACUGUGCACAGCGUGACGGUAACUAAUCAGAAAGCCACGGCUAACUACGUG
rnacentral:rRNA from 1 species